rnacentral:rRNA from 1 species
UACAGAGGUCUCAAGCGUUGUUCGGAUUCAUUGGGCGUAAAGGGCGCGUAGGCGGCGCGGUAAGUCGGGUGUGAAAGCUCGGAGCUUAACUCCGAAACUGCAUUCGAUACUGCCGUGCUUGAGGACUGGAGAGGAGACUGGAAUUUACGGUGUAGCGGUGAAAUGCGUAGAUAUCGUAAGGAAGACCAGUGGCGAAGGCGGGUCUCUGGACAGUUCCUGACGCUGAGGCACGAAGGUCAGGGGAGCAAACGGG